CCUACGGGUGGCAGCAGUGGGGAAUAUUGCACAAUGGGGGAAACCCUGAUGCAGCAACGCCGCGUGGGUGAAGGAGCGUUUCGGCGCGUAAAGCCCUGUCAGCGGGGAAGAAGAAAGACGGUACCCGACCAAGAAGCCCCGGCUAACUACGUGCCAGCAGCCGCGGUAAUACGUAGGGGGCGAGCGUUAUCCGGAAUUACUGGGUGUAAAGGGAGCGUAGACGGCGAGGUAAGCCUGAAGUGGAAGCCCGCGGCCCAACCGCGGAACUGCUUUGGGAACUGUUUUGCUAGAGUAUGGGAGAGGUAGGUGGAAUUCUUGGUGUAGGGGUAAAAUCCGUAGAGAUCAAGAGGAAUACUCAUUGCGAAGGCGACCUGCUAGAACAUAACUGACGCUGAUGCGCGAAAGCGUGGGGAGCAAACAGGAUUAGAUACCCCUGUAGUC
rnacentral:rRNA from 1 species